AGAGUUUGAUCAUGGCUCAGGAUGAACGCUGGCGGCGUGCCUAACACAUGCAAGUCGAACGGAGUUAUUUUGGAAAGUUCCUUCGGGGACUGGAAUCUAUAACUUAGUGGCGGACGGGUGAGUAACGCGUGAGCAAUCUGCCUUUAGGAGGGGGAUAACAGUCGGAAACGGCUGCUAAUACCGCAUAAUACGUUUGGGAGGCAUCUCUUAAACGUCAAAGAUUUUAUCGCCUUUAGAUGAGCUCGCGUCUGAUUAGCUAGUUGGCGGGGUAACGGCCCACCAAGGCGACGAUCAGUAGCCGGACUGAGAGGUUGAACGGCCACAUUGGGACUGAGACACGGCCCAG
rnacentral:rRNA from 1 species